rnacentral:lncRNA from 1 species
GUUAAAUUCAUUAAAAAAACAAUACACCUACUCAGUCAUAUAAUAAAUUGACUAAGUUGGAACAUUACUCUCUCUCCGGGUUCUCUCAUAGUCUUCUUUUCUUGUGGGAUUCGAUAUGAUUUGAUGAUGUUUCAUCUCUAUUUGUGAUUUUUAGGAAAUUCUUAUUCCUUACGACCAUUUUCUAGACGUAUUUGGAUUCUGUAUUCGAAUUCGACUACCAAUAUCCAAUGUACACAAAUCUUUAUUACCGGUGUCGUAAUAGAAUUUGGAUUUGUUGCGGAUAUUAUUCAAUAUACUUGGAAUGUCAUGAAACGAUUUCUUCAAUGCACUACUGUGUGCUGGAAUUUUUGAUCUAAGGUUCUGUACAUGAACUACUUGAUUGGGAGAGUAUCCGCACUUGCGGGUGUAUUUCUAGACUCUAAUAGCCCAUCUCUAAACUCUUCCGCAUCGAUUGUUUUUUUUUUCCACAUUUAUUCAGGAGGCUCUUCAUAUUUUUCACAGCUGCCUCGGCCGUUCCGUUACUUUGUGGAUUGUAAAGACUUGAUGGAGACCAAACGAUGCCAUUUUUUUGUAAAAAAUCUCGGAACAUAUGGGGUGAGAAAACUGAACCUUGAUAGGAUCUCAGAUGCUUCGGAAAUUCGAAAUAAUGUAUCCUGAUAAUGCAUCCCCAUAUACCAGCUAAGAUUUUCGGUUUAACAUAAACAAAUCUGUUGACAUGGUUUCAAUUACUAGUUGUGGUACGUCAUCAGGUUUGAAACUCUCUUGGCAUUGUUAAGGUGCUUUUGUUUGACAAGUUUCACAGUUUUCAAUAAUCCUGUCAAUUUCAUUGUUCAUUCCCGGCCAGAAUAUUGACUCACUCGCUCUUCUUUUGGUUAUUGUCAUUCCUUGAUGCGACAAAUGUAGUUUAGCGGGAAUGACUUUUUGACACGCUUUAGGGACGGACGACAAUUCGUGUUCCUUUCAAUACUAAACCGUUCUCAACAGCUAAGUCUUCGAUCAUGUUCUUAAAUAACUUUACGUAAUGAUUUUCAACUCUUCCUUUUUCUUUAACACCACAUUCCAUGAAUUAUACGAGUGCUCGAUAGUCUUCAUCUGCUUAUGCUAUAUUUCGUAUCUCUUCAAUGAUUGGAUCUACAAAACCAAUAUUUCGGAUUUUAUUCUGUAUUACAGCUAUUCUAAUUAUGGCUAAUCUUACCCUGUCUUUCAUUCCACUUUCUAAUUCUUCUUUUCUUUUCCAGGAUCAUCUAAUGGAGCUCUUGACAAAGCAUCUGCAAUAAUAUGGUAUUUUCCUUUCUUCCAUGAUACUUUGAACUGGUAAUGUUUAAGGCACAUUCUAAUCUUCUGUACUUUGGCAUUUUCGAUUUGGUUUAAAGAAUAGUUAUUGAAUAUAGUGGAGAAAGAUUGGUGAUCGGUUAUUACUUCGAAGUGCGGUAGUUCACUAAGGUUAACAUGACAUUUUUUAAUGGCCCACUUGAUGGCAAGGGCUUCUAACUCGAUCAUCGAAUAUCUUGAUUCUGUUUUAGUGAUAAAUCUCGAACCACAUUCAAUUAGUUUCUAUCUUUCUCCAUGACUUUCUAUUAAAUUGAAUCCAAGACCUUUGGUUCUUGAUGCGUCUGUCUCUAAACGUGUUUCUCUGAUCAAACAGUGCUAGGAUUGGUGGCUUAAGGAAAAUAUCUUUAAUAUUGUCCAUCGCAUGUGAGUGAACUAACUCCCAUUUGAAUUCAUACUUUGUCUUCGACAAGUUUCUCAAUGGUUCGGCCACUUUGCUCAAUUUUGAGGAGUCGGAAAUUUGCGAAUAGCAUUCAAUUUAUCUUCGUUGACGGCAAUUCCAAUCUUAUUGAUUUUGUAACCGACAAAAUCAAUUUUUUCCUUCGCGAAUUGAAAUUUUUCUAGACUUAAUGUGAUUCCAAAUUCCUUGCAUCUAUUUAGAACUCUUCUUACUCCCUUACAUAUAUAUAACAGUUAACCACUUUUUUUUAAUCUUUUAAAGCGUAGAACUUCAGAAGAAGAGGAAUCUUUUUCGUAUGUUUUUUUCCCGAAAACUAAAUAUUUCUUUAAUAGUAAUAUUUAAUUAUUCCUGGAUACUCUUUUUUUAGUUCAAAAUGAUGGUAUAGGAAAAAUCACAAAGCCUUUUGUGAUGAAGGCAAUUUAUUUCCAGUCAAUUUGGUAACAAAUACGACAUUAAAAUAUAACUUACUUUGAGAUAGGGUUGAUUUUUCCAUAGUGUCUGUCUUUCCACAUUGAUAUUGUUACCAUUUUUGUUGAAUAAACUAUGAUACUAAAUACCGUCUCCUUUAUUAAAAAUAUUUAAUUGAUACAUCUUCUUUUUAUUUUGUAUCAAAUUAACAUCUGUGGUAAUUAAGUUGAAAAGAAACUAGAAAGUAUUGCGUGGUAUAAUUGUUUUUAAAUAUUCUUCAACUUGUAAUUAAUCAUUGUAAUGCAAGGACUGAAUUGAUUUAAAUUGCAAACAAAAAUACUCCAGAUGUGCAAAUGAGUAAUGAUGCUUUAUAGAGGGGGGAUUUCAAAUUUUGGGACACCUAUUACGGACCGAUAAAUGGGAUUGAUUUUACAUCACAAAUUAAGGACCAACAUAACCAAAACAAAUCAUCUUGUUUUGUAGGAGGAAAAUGGGCAAAAUACAGAAACAUUA